CCCCAUCAAAAAGGGGUGCCUUGUUUUGUAAGAAACACAAAAACAGGCUGAGAGCAUACCCAUUGAGAUCAACGGCCACAACGGCGGAUCUCAUGCACCUGAUCCGGAUAAUGCCGGCGUAGGGAUUGGAGUUAUGGAGUUU
rnacentral:ncRNA from 1 species